rnacentral:rRNA from 1 species
ACGUAGGAGGCAAGCGUUAUUCGGAUUUACUGGGCGUAAAGCGCGUGCAGGCGGUUCGGCAAGUUGGAUGUGAAAGCUCCUGGCUCAACUGGGAGAGGUCGUUUAAUACUUCCGGACUUGAGAGUGGGAGAGGGAGGUGGAAUUCCGGGUGUAGCGGUGAAAUGCGUAGAUAUCCGGAGGAACACCAGUGGCGAAAGCGGCCUACUGGACUAUUUCUGACGCUCAGGCUCGAAAGCUAGGGUAGCAAACAG